rnacentral:lncRNA from 1 species
AGAUGAGUCCAGAUUCCAGAUGAAAGCUAAUACAAUCAUAAGUCCAAACAAAGAGAGAAUACAUAAAGCCUAAUACAUCAAAUAGCCAAGCAGAUAUCUCCUAUGGUACUACUCAUCAAAAGGAAUCUCUAGGGUCUCAGAAGAAGAGGUUUGGGAAGAUCCUACUCGAUGGACCAACCAUCUGAGAAGGAGGGAACCCCACACCACCAUGAGUAU